rnacentral:lncRNA from 1 species
ACACAUAUAUAAGUAUACAAGUUAUAGAAUAAAAACUCAGCAUAUGGACGAGUCAUGUUUCUUUAAGCAUGAGGUGUUGAUCAAUCCUUAAAUAAGGUAAGGGACACUAAAAGCGAUAUAAUUGCAGAAAAUGAAUAAGAGAGCUACUUAUUAUCUUACUCCCAUUUUGUUUCACACCCAUUUCUCUGCCCCUUCAUACUCUCAGGUUACCACUACAAAGAUUUACUAAUUCUUGAUAAAGACUUCACCAAAAUCUCUAAGAAUUGAAGUUGGAAACUGAAUUGGGAGAAGAUUUGAAGUCAAAUUACAUCAAGGAAAGGUUGCAUCCAUCUAUCAUCAAGUUAGGAUUUUCUUAAUUAAGUCAUGUUGAAAGGUAAGCAUAUACUUUUCAAAUUUAAAGAAAUUAUUGAGUUAUAAUUAUAGAAAUUGAAUGAAUAAUAGUUGUUAUUAUUAUGUUAUUGUUGUAGCAGUUUGGAUUAUGGAACAUGAAGGGUUCAGAUGAUAUAAGGAUGGAAUUAGAGUAUGGAGAUGGUGUUUUUAUGUUUCAAAUUCAUAAAAACACUAGGUUUUAAAGCAUGCAUGUUAGGUGUUUGAUAAAAUGCUUCAAAGAGGUUAUUUUGUUAAAUUCUGAGAAUUCAUUGUUCAUUAUUAAUGAUUUAUGAGUUAACACAUAUAUGAGAAAUGGGUUAACUCAACUUGAUUGGAUGGUUUGAAAUGAGUUGAAAAUGGAUUUAAAAGAUUUCAUUGCAAAUUAGUUCAAAAUGAAAAUCAUGUUAAACGCAGAUUUUCGAGCUUUUUGUUUUAUACCAUAAGGAUGUUUAUAAAGACCAAACUUUGAGGAAAUUUGUACCUUGUUGUAUGGUGUAGAUAUUGUGACAAGUUUCAAGUCAUUUGGGCUUAUAGAAAGAAAGUUAUGUAGUUGAGAAAGUGGCAUGAAGGCAUAAAUCUAGAAAACAGAGCUGGGAGGUUCUCUACCGAUAUGGCGUUGCCGCGCCAUUCCCAAGCUUGUUGGGGGCGCUGUCGCGCCCUGCUGCAGAGGUCCAAGAAUGGAUAUGGCACUGUUGCGCCGUUCCCACGCUUGCUGGGGGCGCUGCCGCACCACUCUACAAAAGUUUCAAGGAUGGUUUGUUGUGACAGGAGAACUUGAUGCUGAGAACCUUUCAUGGAUUAAAACUUUAACAAUAGGAAGGUUAAAUUAACCUAUCUAUAGAAUGAUUAAAUCAAUUUAAAGGUUGAUUGAAGACUAGCAACCUAAUGUAUAAUUUAUGAACAUGAUGAAAUCUUAAGAAAUUAAGAUUAUGAAAGUAUGAAACUACUAUAUGAGUUUCUAAUUCUGACUUAUAGACAUGUUUACAUGUUGGAUAUACAAAUUUGUGUAUGAGAAGUUAAGAGUUUUGAAAUAAAGUAUUGAAUAUAUUAUGUGUUAAAUGUACAUACGAGUGUAGGAUAAAUAAAAGUUACUAGGUUAAUUCUUAGAGUCUCAAAUGAGAUUGAAAUCUCAAAUAGAAUUGAUGAGCAUGUUAUCACUGACUUGUAAUAUAUAG